rnacentral:rRNA from 1 species
GGUGAACGCUGGCGGCGUGCCUAACACAUGCAAGUCGAGCGGUGCAGUUUGAAGCUUCGGUGGAAAGCUGCAUAGCGGCGGACGGGUGAGGAAAACGUAGGAACGUGCCCCUUGGAGUUGGAUAGCCACGGGAAACUGUGGGUAAACCGACAUAGACUCGAGAGAGUAAAGGCCGAAAGGCGCCAAGGGAGCGGCCUGCGGCCCAUCAGGUAGUUGGUAGUGUAAAGGACUACCAAGCCGACGACGGGUAGCCGGUCUGAGAGGAUGGCCGGCCACAAGGGCACUGAGAGACGGGCCCUACUCCUACGGGAGGCAGCAGUGGGGGAUUUUGGGACAAUGGGCGAAAGCCUGAUCCAGCGACGCCGCGUGGAGGACGAAGCCCUUCGGGGUGUAAACUCCUUUUCUCAGGGAAAAAGGAUGAUGGUACCUGAGGAAUAAGCCCGGCUAACUACGUG